CCUAAGGAGAGAAGUGCUCAUUCCAGUGUAUUGAUCAACUGUAGCUCAGGACCACACCUACUAGUGGUGAGUGGGAGUACCAAAGACUGUUGGUUGUUAAAUAUAAACAAAAUGGAAUGGAAAGAACUGACUAAUAUACCAGACAGUGUCACUGAUAGACAUUAUCAUUCUCUCUCAGUUUGGAAUGAGACACAGACCACUCACUGGAUAAUUGAGUUUGGAGGAGAGAGAGAUAAUGGUUCAAGAAUCAGUGAUACAAGAUUUAUUGAAAUCAUAUCUAGUACUAUGUGAUUUGGUAGUACAGUCAGUACUGGACAUUAAUGAAUAUCAGAAGAGAAGAAUACAAGGUAUUAACACAUACAUGUACAUGUACAUGUACCAAACACAUGUUUCACUUAUGUGAGGUACGCUCAUGCUUGCUGGCCAAUAAAUAAUUCUAUUUCAUGUAUUAGCAGCUAAUGAGAUUCCUAACCAUCUAUUGUUUUGAUAAAACCUUUCC